rnacentral:rRNA from 1 species
CCCGCACAAGCGGUGGAGUAUGUGGUUAAUUCGACGCAACGCGCAGAACCUUACCUGGUCUUGACAUCCCGGGAAUCUUGUGGAAACACGAGAGUGCCUCGCAAGAGGAGCCUGGAGACAGGUGCUGCAUGGUUGUCGUCAGCUCGUGCCGUGAGGUGUCGGGUUAAGUCCCAUAACGAGCGCAACCCUUAUCGUUAGUUGCCAGCGGGUAAUGCCGGGAACUCUAGCGAAACUGCCGGUGUAAACCGUGAGGAAGGUGGGGAUGACGUCAAAUCAGCACGGCCCUUAUGUCCAGGGCUACACACGUGUUACAAUGGCCGGUACAGAGGGCAGCUACCUGGAGACAGGAUGCGAAUCUCCAAAGCCGGUCUCAGUUCGGAUUGCAGUCUGCAACUCGACUGCAUGAAGUUGGAAUCGCUAGUAAUCGUGGAUCAGCCAAGCCGCGGUGAAUACGUUCCCGGGCCUU